CCUACGGGAGGCUGCAGUGAGGAAUAUUGGUCAAUGGGCGUAAGCCUGAACCAGCCAAGUCGCGUGAGGGAUGAAGGUUCUAUGGAUCGUAAACCUCUUUUAUAAGGGAAUAAAGUGUGGGACGUGUCCUGUUAUGUAUGUACCUUAUGAAUAAGGAUCGGCUAACUCCGUGCCAGCAGUCGCGGUACUACGGAGGAUCCGAGCGUUAUCCGGAUUUAUUGGGUUUAAAGGGUGCGUAGGCGGCCUGUUAAGUCAGCGGGGAAAGCCUGGGGACCAACCAUGGAAUUGCCGUUGAAACUGGUAGGCUGGAGUAUGGUUGAGGCAGGCGGAAUGCGUGGUGUAGCGGUGAAAUGCUUAGAUAUCACGCAGAACACCGAUUGCGAAGGCAGCCUGCCAAGCCAUGACUGACGCUGAUGCACGAAAGCGUGGGGAUCAAACAGGAUUAGAUACCCUAGUAGUC
rnacentral:rRNA from 1 species